UAAAGAUUAAUGAUAUGAAUGUGUUGUAG
rnacentral:piRNA from 1 species